AGUGCUCAUCAGAUUGGUUCUCUUCUCAAAAAUAUUUUUUCGCUGAUAACACAUAUCGCAUGCCCACAAACAUUAAAUGCAUUUCGGCUCGCCGCUGAAGCAACAGGUAUAAUCGAUAUUGGCUUUUCAUCCAUCAUGACACGUACUAAUCACUGUCGGGGAGCGUUUACAGAUCCUCUUACGUGCAGUAAAGUGAUACUCCAUAAAUAGCACUUGAGGAUUUUGGGUUUUCACUGUGUUCAGCAAUAACGCCAAAAUUUUAACUUUUGCGAAUGACGUAACAUUACGCCGUUCAAGACAUUACGUAGUAUCACAAGCGUACCUUAAGGGCAAUGGAAGUGCUGCGCAUAGCCAACCACUUGAAAACACCACCAGAAAACGAUAGUAAGUACUACAGAUACGUAAUGGCAAUUUACAACGCGUACUUUGUACACUAUAUAUGCUGAUGAAUGAAUCUCAAAAAGUAAUUACGCUCAAUAAUUUAUCCCUGUCAGUCAUAGAAGAACAUGCCCUUUGUCUAAGGAAGAGAAAAUUCAAGCAUGACACUGAGCAAAAGUUCCGCGUAGAUCAAAGUCCAUGGCCCUGAAACUAUGGCGGCAUCUAUGACGCUGAAUCACGUAGCCGAAAUUGCAGCGGUGGGCUGAUAAGUUACACAAAAACAUUCAAGUGCUUAUUUCGGCUAACAACUAUAGCGUCGCGUAUGCAUAUCAAUUCGAAUCAUAGGGGGUCCAGAAACUAACAGUGCAUUUUCCAUUGCGAACUGUACGACCUAAUUAGGAAUAAUUACAGAAUAAGCGUACUUUGAAAUAACAUCUUUAUAUCAUUUUUUCACCAGAGCCGGUGUUUCUCUGCAUCAAGGCGAUCAGCGUAUUGGAAUAUCCGGUUGUUAUGGCCGGACGCAUCACAGCGUUUCUGCUCAUGUGUGCCAUGUUCGCCUACGGUAUCAUGGCCAUUCCAACUAAUCAAGAUGCUACAGCACGAGGAAAUUCAGUACCGACAAGUGCUGCCAAUGAGGAUGCAAGAAUCGGAAAACCUGCGAUCGAAAGCUUCGUUGACGGAGGCCUCGGCUGAAACUCACGUGAUUUGCUACACCGAGAGAGCAGCGCUAUAAAACCGGUUUUUGUCGCGUGCUCGCUGCUUUCUUUAGCGAGUGAAAUGGGAUAAAAUGUACCAGCAUCGAUUUA